rnacentral:rRNA from 1 species
AUGUCCUCUCGCCCCGCCCGCAUGACCUCGACCUUUCGCCCACUCCUCCUCCUCCCGCGUUGUUCCUCCCGCAGCCGGAGCCACCCGCCACACCCUUCGCUGCCGGAUCCGCCCUUCGCUGUGAGAGACGCCGCCGAGCCCGUCCGUCGCGCCCGAGCCGCCGCCGGAGCCGUCCUUCGCCGCAGGAGCCACCGCCGCCGAGCCCGUCCAUUGCGCCCGAGCCGUCGCCGAGCCCGUCCAUUGCGCCGGAGCCGCCCUACGCCGCGGGAGCCCCUUCGCCGGGAGUCCGAGGACGAAGAUGACAACGUCGACUACGAGGAGCAUCGGGAGGCCAGGCGGCGCCUGAUCCGCACUGUGCCGAUCGUUGACUGGUUCGAUGUCAAGAGCAACGAGGUCAAGACGACGUCUCCGAGGAAGUACUUCGUCCGGCCGAACGCGAGCAUCAUCCACCCGUGGGAUUCUUGCACGAUAACAAUUACCCUACAGUUACAGAAAGAGUACCCCACAAAUAUGCAAUCAAAGAAUAAAUUCUUGAUUCAGAGCACCAGGGUGGCUGCCAGCACCGACAUGGAUGAAACCCCCCCUGACACUUUCAACAAGGAGGCUGAUAAGGUGAUUGAGGAAAUGAAGCUCAAGGUUGUCUACACAUUGCCCAGUGGAAGCUCAGACGACUCUGGUGUCACAUGUUCAGCAAAUAGGAGCUUCAAGCAGGGCGACGACGAUCUCUCGAUGCUGAAGAAUGCAAGCAUUGAAGAGGUAACGCGCUCUUUCCAAACAGAAAUUUCACAUGUUUAUUUAGAAAUCUGA